rnacentral:rRNA from 1 species
GAGUUUGAUCCUGGCUCAGAGCGAACGUUAGCGGCGCGCCUAACACAUGCAAGUCGCACGAGAGGGGGCAACCCCUGAAAGUGGCGCACGGGUGCGUAACACGUAGAUAAUCUGCCCUUUGGCGGGGAUAACGUUCCGAAAGGAGCGCUAAUACCGCAUACAGCGUUUGGUGGUUCGCCACUGGACGGCAAAGGUUGGGACCGGCAACGGCCAAUCACCGAAGGAGGAGUCUGCGGCCCAUCAGCUAGUUGGUAAGGUAACGGCUUACCAAGGCAAAGACGGGUAGCUGGUCUGAGAGGAUGAUCAGCCACACUGGUACUGGAACACGGACCAGACUCCUACGGGAGGCAGCAGUGGGGAAUCUUGGUCAAUGGGCGAAAGCCUGAACCAGCGACGCCGCGUGAGUGAUGAAGGCCUUC